rnacentral:lncRNA from 1 species
CCCAGUCCUAUCCUAUAUGAUGGAAAAUUAGAAAAAGAAAGAAUUGUGUGGUAUUAAUAGGCAGCGUAGCGUAGAUGUGGUCUUCCACGUACCGGUGGACGUUGCGUUGCUGUACCAAGGUGAAACAAUUAAUGCUACUGAUCGAUGGUAAAUAUUACUACUAGUCUACUACUGCGACGGUUCGUACCGUCUAUGGUCAUAGGUACGGACCGUCGCCAUAGUCUAGAUAGAUAUCUACUCAUCAUAUGUUUCACUUUUCAAGUUGUGAAUGGCAAUGCUAGAGCCGCUAACAAAAACUUCGUAGUUGGUAGUCAAGUAAGUUUAUAUGGAAAGAAAAUGGGAUUCUGGUAUUUAAUAACAUGAGUUUAGUUUUUGACAAAAUAAGUGCAAUUCUACAAAGAGAGUCGAUCUGGUAGAAAGAAAGAGAAUAACAAGGGUUCUAAUAUCAAAUCCAAAACUGUGUGGUAUAUAUAUUACAAAAUUGAUGUCUCAAAUGAAAAUUUAGACUAUAGCACGUACU